CUUCAAGCCGAGGGUAUCCACACGCCUUCACGUCAGCAGUGCCUGGGAAAGCUGGUGGUGCCAUUUGGACAAUAUGAACAUGCACCAUUUCGGUGGCUCGUUGCAAACGACGUGGGAUAUAUGAAGUACAACAGCUGACAAGUACCCCCAGGUGUGAUCCUUCAUUGUGGCCAAGUGAUGAUGCUGAACUGAUAGCUGCAUCCCAGUCUGUGGAAGGUAUGUGAGAUUCAGAGUUAAUAUACAUUCUACUGUUUGUACAAAGUCAUUAUAAUUACAAAACUAAUUGGUCACCUCAUUUAUAGAUUCACUGAAGUCCCAACACUCCUUGUCUGCAAGUCAACCUUUAAAGCAACGGCUGACAAGCAGAGGUGUUUCCUCCUCCCAGACGUCUGGAACAUAGGAGAACUCAGCUCCCCUGUCCAAGGAGUUUGAGAACACUGUACAGUCACCACAUCAAAAUAAAUCUACUGUGCAGCCCAAACAUCGUGAGUCCACAGAGGCUGCCAUACAGUCCAAAAAACUUGACACUGUUGGAUUCACUGAGUCAUCUGCAUCCCAGGGUCAUGAUCAUACAACACAAUUACUGUUGAGUCAUUCACCUGUGGAGCUAGAGGGAUGGGUGCGUCCCUGGGAAAAUCCUAAUGGUAUCCCAUCUGCUGACAUUUCCUGGCUUAAAGAGGACACUGAAAGAGGACUGUUUACCCCUGUUCAGACAUACAAGGAUGUUACUGGUGUGUUGAAGAGGCGACGGGUGAUUAAAUCAGAUCGCAUGUGGUUUUACCCACCAGAACCUCCUGGCUAUGCCAGGGGUGCUGUGCCCAGUGUACAGCUCUUUUUUCGCAGCCG
ensembl:lncRNA